rnacentral:rRNA from 1 species
GGACUACUAGGGUUUCUAAUCCUGUUUGCUCCCCAUGCUUUCGCGCCUCAGCGUCAGUAUGAAUCCAGUAAGUCGCCUUCGCCACUGGUGUUCUUUCCGAUAUCUACGCAUUUCACCGCUACACCGGAAAUUCCACUUACCUCUAUUCUACUCAAGCAUUACAGUCUUAAAUGCAGUUCCCAAGUUAAGCUCGGGGAUUUCACAUCUAACUUAUAACACCGCCUACGCGCCCUUUACGCCCAGUAAUUCCGAUUAACGCUCGCACCCUCUGUAUUACCGCGGCUGCUGGCAC